UAGUCUCAGUUCAGAUUGCAGGCUGCAACUCGCCUGCAUGAAGUCGGAAUUGCUAGUAAUCGUAGGUCAGCAUACUACGGUGAAUACGUUCCCGGGCCUUGUACACACCGCCCGUCAAACCAUGAGAGUUGGCAACACCCGAAGUCGGUAGUCUAACCGCAAGGAGGACGCCGCCGAAGGUGGGGUCGAUGAUUAGGGUUAAGUCGUAACAAGGUAUC
rnacentral:rRNA from 1 species